GCUGGGCGUGGUGGUGUGUGCCUGUAGUCCCAGCUACUUGGGAGGCUGAGGCAGGAGGAUUUCUUGAGCCCAGGAGAUUGAGGCUGCAAUGAGCCAUGAUAGUGCCACUGCACUCCAACUUGGGCAACAGAGCAAGACCCUGUCUCUA
ensembl:misc_RNA Metazoa_SRP Metazoan signal recognition particle RNA